UCUGCCGACAGCCCCACAAAGUAGGUGAUAUUUUUCUCCUUAGUUUACAGAUGAGGACACGGAGGCCCAAAGAGGCAGUGUGAGCUGCUUAGCCAUUCAGCCCUCAAUGAAAGAGCCCCUUUCUCCGACCCUUGCUGGAAGAAGGCGGGCCGAGAACCUGCUUUAGGAUGAGCCUCCAACUUUUGAUGGGAGCCCCAGGGAAGGCCCUGAGCCUCCCCCGGAGGCACUCAGCAGCCGCCCACUCGCAGGUCUUGCUCAUAAGACAGUUUCCCGUCUGCAAAAUGAGAUUGUUAUGUCUCAUAGCGCUGCUCUGAUGACGCAGGAAGCAGAGGCGUGGCUUCGUGUUAACCCUUUCUGCGCCAGCCCUGGCAGACCGUGAGGGCCGAGGAGGCACUCGGGAUCCUGUGUGCGGCUUGUGCGGCUUCCUGCGGGAUGUGUCAGAGCCUGCGGCCCGCUGCGAUUGCAGAGCUAUUCUUCUCCAAGCAGGAGGAAGGGGCCAGCUGGAUGGCAAGCCAGGCCAGGGCAGAGAUGACACCCGAGAUACCUGUGCUCAACGUAGGUCAGACUCCUGAAGGCCACAGCCAGGAUGACACUGGGCUCUGGGCUGGCCAGGGUGUGGACAGGGGUGAGCCAUGAACCCACGCU